rnacentral:pre_miRNA from 1 species
UUUGUACUCCCUCCGUCCAACAAAAGAUUUCUCAAGUUUGUCAAAAUUUGGAUGUAUCUAGACAUGACUUAGUGUAUAGAUGCAUUCAAAUUUAGUCAAAAUUGAGAUAUCUUUUGUUGGACGGAGGAAGUAGUUU